AGCCUUAAGGUGAUAAUCAUGUCGGAUUGCAAAUUCGAAGGUGUAGGGAAGGUACCCCUACUAAGGCUU
rnacentral:tRNA from 1 species